CGCAUGCGUUGGCAGCUGGAGCACUCGGGGCCUGGGGCACGCAUGCGCUGAAUUCCAGUUAUGGUGUCGAGGAAGCAAGAUGAACCUGGCACACUGCUCCUGAUUUGUCCAGAUUGCAUCCUGCCGGCUGGUAGAAAGUCUGGAGGCUUGCUGGAAUUCUGCUUGGAUUUGGAGGCCAGAAUAUUCUGCAGGUGGGUGAGGUGCCUUGGGCUGGUCUCGGGCAGGAGGUUCAGGGCAGCUGCUUGAACAGAUGCUCUCAAUUUAGUCCUGCGUUCUAAAGUUCCUUGUGGCUAGAUCCAUUAUUUAAUGUCAGGGACGUGAAAACUUGAGGAUUCCUUCUGUAUUUGUUAGCAGAAACUGCUCCGUAAAGAACUUGCCCUCACUAACUAUUGGUUUACAGUGAAAUUCAGUCUGUACAGGAGAGGUCGGAUAUAUCCUUGAUUCUUUCACGGGUUUUUGGAAUAGUUACUAUUGGGCAGGUCUUUGCUUCUAGGUCUUUCCAGUGGGGACAGUUAGGAUGUAUAUAUUUUAAGGGGAAGAUAGACAUGGGUUUACACUGCUAUUUCCAAUUCAAAUUCAGGACCAUCAGCCUCUAACCUCUUUGAU
rnacentral:lncRNA from 12 species